ACUAGGAAGAGUUGGGGCAAUUUUCUGGAUUUUUCUUUCCACAAUACCAUGUCCAACCAAGGGUUGGGGAUACAUAUUUAUAGUUGGCCUAGCAGCCAACCAGCCAAGCAUCAAGGCAUAUGCUAGUCUAAGAUGCCUUUGGUGUUGUCCUAUCUAGUCUAAGAUGCCUAGGACUGUCCUACCCUAAAGGUAGUCAACAAAGUGGUGCUGCAGCAAGCAUAUGCUGCAGCCCCACUGUCCUCCAGUCAACAAACUGGUGCUGCAGCAAACAGAGCAGAUGCUGCAGCCCCACAACAAAGCAGGCAGGUGCUGCAGCAAAUAGAAGCUGCAGCCCCACAAGGACCAGUACAGCAGCAAGACUUAUCCAGCAUUCUCCCCCUAAGUCUUGUGCGUCGUCUUGUGGGAAAGUUGGACCAUCCCGGUCCUGGAACAGAGCUCAAGGAACUUGCUCCUCCCAAGAGGCUUGGUGAGUAGGUCCACAAGCUGAUCCUUGGUGUUGAUGUAGCUCACCUUGAUGCUUCCUUCCUCCAAGCAGCCUCGGAUGAAGUGGUACCUCACCCGGAUGUGCUUGCUCCGCUCAUGGAAAACGGGGUUCUUUGCCAGGGCCAGAGCGGACUUGCUGUCCACCCUGAGCUCCACCGCUAUAGUGUCUCUGCCGAGGAGAUCACCGAGCAAUCGGGCAAGCCAAAGUGCCUGAGUCGAAGCAGUGGAGGCCGCUAUGUACUCGGCCUCGCAGCUGGACAGCGCCACCACCUGCUGCUUGACCGACUGCCAGCUAACGAGGCACUUGCCGAGGAAGAAGAGAAUCCCUCUCGUGCUCUUACUGGUGUCGAUGUCGCCGGCGUGGUAGGCGUCGAUGUGCUCCUCGUCGUGAGAGAGCGGAGUAGCGAACUCCACCGGGCUGUGCUCGACAUGAGCUGGUGUCGGAGUAGACGUGCCCAGAGGAGUGGCUGUCGGUGCUGGAGUACGUGGCGUCGCCAGCUGUGGUGGUGCCGGAGUCGCGGCUGGAGAGCGUGGCGCUGCCGGAGUAGCAAGCGUCGGAGUCAGUGGAGGUUCGAGGACUGGGGUACGCACGCUCGGCGAAGAAGAGCUGCCUACUCCCCCAGCUCCCUCGAAGUGGAUGUACCCGACAGUGAAGUCGUCGUACGUCGGAGUCGAACCGUCGUCCACCGCCUUGUCCCACGCCCAUCCUCGCCCUUCGUCGAACACAACGUCGUGCGCUGUGCGCACACGCUGUGUCUCCGAGUCGAGAAUGCGGUAGGCCUUCGAGCCCUCCACGUAGCCAAUGAACACUCCUGGAGUGCUCCUGUUGUCAAGCUUGCCAAUGUGGCCAAGCUCCUUGGCAAACGCGAGGCAGCCAAAGACCCGCAGGUGGGACACCGCCGGCUUGUGCUCAUGCCAAGCCUCGUACGGCGUCCUGCCGUCGAGCGCCUUGGUGGGCGAGCGGUUGAGGAUGUAGACAGCCGUCACCACUGCCUCUCCCCAGAGAAUAGCCGGCAUCCCCCUCUACUUGAGGAGGGCCCGAGCCAUCCCCACAACCGUCUGGUUGCGCCGCUCGACGACGCCGUUCUGCUGCGGGCUGUAUGGUGCGGAGUAGUGGUGCUGAAUGCCCUCAUCAGCGCAGUACGACGAGAAUUAAGUCGCCGUGAAUUCGCCACCGUUGUCGGUGCGCAGCACGCCCGGCUUGCGGCCGCACUCCAACUUCGCAGCAGCCUGCGUGUGCCAGAUGGCGUCCGCAGCCUCCCCCUUGCUGCCGAGGACCAUCACCCACAUGUAGCAGGAGAGGUCGUUGACGAGCACAAGAAGUAGCGUCGUCCUCCGGGUGUGGCCGGUGUCACCAGGCCACACAAGUCCCCGUGCACGAGCUCAAGCUGCUCCUUGGCUCGAAAGCUCGCCUGCUGGGGAAAGGGGAGCCGCCUCUGCUUUGUCAACACACAGACAUCGCAGAACUUCUCCACGUGAUCGAGACAUGGCAAGCCUCGCACCAUCUCCUUGGCACUUAGCCGCUUCAGGGCCUCGAAGUGAAGGUGCCCGAAGCGCUCGUGCCACUGCCACGCCUUGUCGUCUCGACGAGAAGUGAGGCAGAAGGGUUGUGCCACCUGCAUAUUAAGGAUGUAGAGUCGAUUUGCGCCUCUGGUUACCUUGGCAAGAAGGCGACGACCGCGGUCCCAAAUCCUCAUGACUCCAUCGUCGAUCACCACGCGCGAACCGUUCUCUUCCAGCUAUCCCAGGCUGAUGAUAGAGUUCCUCAGCGCGGGGAUGUAGUACACUCCAGUGAGCAGCCUGUGCUCUCCAAACUCGGCGGUGAAGAUGACGGAGCCGACGCCCUUGAUCUCUACGCCGGAGGCAUCCCCAAACUUGACGGUGCCUCGGAUGCUAGAGUCAAGCUCGGUGAAGAACUCUCGCCAACCAGUCAUGUGCUAGGUAGCGCCGGUGUUGAGGCACCACCCCUCAGCCUUAUCGUUGCUGGAGCCGUCGCCGAGGAAGGCGUGUGCCCUCGGCUUGUCAAGGUGGAGGAGAGCCGCUGCGGCUGAUACCGCUGGAGAUAGCUCGACGCUUGCGUGUGCCAGGAGCAGAGCCGGCUCCUCCUCCUCCGCCAGUGCAACGUGAGCCUGGCCGCGGAUUGGCUGUCGACAGUCCUUGGCCCAAUGGCCAAGCCGGCCACAGUUGCGGCAUGCCUCGUCUCGUGGCGGCCUGUGUUCGCCGGCGGCACCACCCUAGGCACCUCCUCACGCGCCGCCAGCACCACCCUGGGUGCCUCCUCGCGUGCCGCCCUCGGUGCCUCAUCGCGCCUUAGGCGCCUUGCGCGGCUUGCCGCGCCUGCGGCCGCCUAUCGAGGAAGAAGGCUCCCCCUUCUUCCGAUCAUCCUGGCGGGCCUCGCACUGCUCCUAAGUGAAAUGGAGCUUCCCGCCAAUGAUGACAAGCCCUGAGGGAGGCUGUGACUCGUCGCUGUCGACGACCUUGAGGUGACCUAUCGCCUAAUCGAUCGACAUCCUGGAGAGGUCCAGUAGAGACUCGAUCAAGCGAGCGAUCUGCUUGUACUUCUCGGGUAUGCAGCGGAGGAGCUUCUCGACAGCUCUCUCCUUGCCAUAGGUGUCGUUGUCGUACUGCACCAUCUUCUGCAAUAGAGUGUUGAGACGGAGAGCAAAGUCAUCAACGUCCUCACCUGGCUUGAAGGCCAGGUUCUCCCACUCCUUGCGAAGUGCCUGCGGUGUGGACUUGCGGGCGCGGUCGCUGCCGAUGCGUGCCGCAGCGAUGGCAUCCCAAGCCUCCUUGGCAGUCCGCUUCUGGGAAAGCGAGAACUGCAUCUCGGGCGGGACUGCAGCGAUGAGGGCGUCCAGCGCCCAUCGAUCCUCAUCGUAGUCAACAUCACUGUACCAGACUGCCUCCCACAUGUGCCGCACCUGGAGCCUCACCCUCAUCACCAUGGCCCACUCGACGUAGUUGGUCUUGGUGAGGGUAGGCCACCCACCACCGGGGCCGACUUCCCUGACAACAGCCUGGGCCCUGUGGCGACCAUGACGGUGGUCCGAGGAGGGAGAGCCACGCUUCCUGUAAAGGCCGCGCUGUCCGUGGACCCGGCCGCUGCGCCGCCGAUCGAACUCCAUCUCUGCCUGCAGCUGGGCAGCCCUCUCCUGCAAUCGCUGGACCUCCAGUGCGAGGUCGAUGUGCGGGUCGCCCUAGGAGUCGCGGUCACCAUGUCCGCUAGGAACACGGUCGUCGCACGCACCCCCGCCGGGAGCGCCGCUGGCGUGUGCACGCCCAUCUGGGCUGCCGCCACUGCGCCCGCGGCGUUGCGCGGCUGCCCACUGUGCUGCCGGUUCCUGCGCCACCUCCGUUGCUAGCACGAGCUCUACGUUGGUACCGCCAUCGGCAGAGGUAGUGCUGCUGAUGCUACCGCCACGUAGAGUCUCAAGCUCCAUUGCCGCCGCCGCCGCUUCCACUUCCGCCCUCGCUGCAGCCAGCUCCGCCGCCGCCAGCCUCGACGCCCUCGCCGCCGCCGCAGCGAUCUCCGCCGCCACUCGGAUACGCUCCUCUGCCACAGCGAGCUCGGCCUCCUGCCGACGCCGCGCACUCAAGGCGACCGAGUGCUGAGACUGUCCUGCGGACAUAGCGUGCCACCGGGGGGCUGCGUGGGGAAGAGGCUGCUUCCGACGAGCUGCUGCUCGUCUGCGUAGGGGGAGAGGAGUGAGCAGGGACAUCCGUGUUUCUACUACCGGUUGGGGACGAAGGGUGGCUGGGGAGGGAUGUGAGCAGGAGAUGUUCAAGCUACAGGAUAAUACGGCUCUGAUACCAGUUGUUAGGAUCUGAACUGUAACUCUCAUCGAGAGGAUGGCACUAGGAAGAGUUGGGGUAAUUUUCUUGGUUUUUCUUUCCACAAUACCAUGUCCAACCAAGGGUUGGGGAUACAUAUUUAUAGCUGGCCUAGUAGCCAACCAGCCAAGCAUCAAGGCAUAUGCUAGUCUAAGAUACCUUUAGUGCUGUCCUAUCUAGUCUAAGAUGCUUAGGACUGUCGUACCCUAAAGGUAGUCAACAAAGUGGUGCUGCAGCAAGCAUAUGCUGCAGCCCCAGUAUCCUCCAGUCCACAAACUGGUGCUGCAGCAAAUAGAGCAGAUGCUGCAGCCCCACAACAAAGCAGUCAACAGGUAGGUGCUGCAGCAAACAAAUGUUGUAGCCCCACAAGGACUAGUACAGCAGCAAGACUUAUCCAGCACCCAAAUGAUCUCUUUCCAUUAACCACACAUGGUAGAUAGCAGUUUGGGGUACAUAUAGAGAUAAGGCAGGGGUAGGUAGUAGGGGUAUUUUAGGGAUAACAUAGCUAAUACAUAGAUAGGGUGUGCACAUGCACCACAAACCACACAACACACACAUAGAGACUUAUUCUAUCAUUUUCCCCCUAAGU
rnacentral:lncRNA from 1 species